rnacentral:rRNA from 1 species
AGUCGAACGGUGAUGACCAGCUUGCUGGUCUGAUCAGUGGCGAACGGGUGAGUAACACGUGAGCAACCUGCCCUUCACUCUGGGAUAACCACGGGAAACGGUGGCUAAUACCGGAUAUGAGACGUACACGCAUGUGUCGCGUCUGGAAAGAUUUAUCGGUGGGGGAUGGGCUCGCGGCCUAUCAGCUUGUUGGUGGGGUAGUGGCCCACCAAGGCGACGACGGGUAGCCGGCCUGAGAGGGCGACCGGCCACACUGGGACUGAGACACGGCCCAGACUCCUACGGGAGGCAGCAGUGGGGAAUAUUGCACAAUGGGCGCAAGCCUGAUGCAGCGACGCCGCGUGAGGGAUGACGGCCUUCGGGUUGUAAACCUCUUUCAGCAGGGAAGAAGCGCAAGUGACGGUACCUGCAGAAGAAGCGCCGGCUAACUACGUGCCAGCAGCCGCGGUAAUACGUAGGGCGCAAGCGUUGUCCGGAAUUAUUGGGCGUAAAGAGCUCGUAGGCGGUUUGUCGCGUCUGCUGUGAAAACCUAAGGCUCAACCUUGGGCUUGCAGUGGGUACGGGCAGACUAGAGUGCGGUAGGGGUGACUGGAAUUCCUGGUGUAGCGGUGGAAUGCGCAGAUAUCAGGAGGAACACCGAUGGCGAAGGCAGGUCACUGGGCCGCAACUGACGCUGAGGAGCGAAAGCAUGGGGAGCGAACAGGAUUAGAUACCCUGGUAGUCCAUGCCGUAAACGUUGGGCACUAGGUGUGGGGCUCAUUCCACGAGUUCCGUGCCGCAGCAAACGCAUUAAGUGCCCCGCCUGGGGAGUACGGCCGCAAGGCUAAAACUCAAAGAAAUUGACGGGGGCCCGCACAAGCGGCGGAGCAUGCGGAUUAAUUCGAUGCAACGCGAAGAACCUUACCAAGGCUUGACAUACACCGGAAAAGUGCAGAGAUGUGCUCCCCGCANGGUCGGUGUACAGGUGGUGCAUGGUUGUCGUCAGCUCGUGUCNUGAGAUGUU